CUUUAGUGUAGGAGGGGGUGGGGAUUUUGGGGUGGCAGGGUGGGGUUAGAAUACCCCUAGAAAAAAUAGAGAAUGCCAAAAAUACAAAGUUGCAAUACAGUCCCUGUACUAUAUACAAUUGAAAAGGAGAGAGGAAAGUAUGGAAACAAUCUUUACUAUAAAUUAUUUACAUGUAACAGUGGCGAUAGGCCUUCAUCGGAAUGCGAAUCCGGCCAGAAAGGUGAACUUGUAUCAGGAGUUUUGGCGUUGACGGUACAGAGGCUUCGGAACAUGCUAGUGAAUCUAUUGUUGCUUCCCCUUCCAACCGUGCAGCAAAUUACCAGCCUAUGGUUCCGCCGGCGGAAUGAUCGUAUUUGUUUCCGGUAAUCUCCAUUUCAUCGGCGAAAAACAUACUCAUAAGUCUAUCCAGCUUAACUAUUAGCAACAAGAGGAGAGUUCAUCAUCAAGGCAUUCAUAACAGCACUACUAAACAAGUUCACAUAGAAAGACCUUGCCUCCUCGUACUAUUUUUGGGUUUUGAAGUAGUUUAGUUCCAAGACCUAAAGGGUUGUUUCUGUAUAGCUUGGGCCAAGGAGUUGCCCACACCUUUGCCAGCCUCAGAUUUACACAAAGUAGAGAUGAUGAAGACAAGUAGAUAACAAGUCAACAACCAUCCAUCUCGGGCAUCAUCUCCGGCCUCCGUCUCCGAUCACCAUCGUCGGCGGGGUAUGGCUUGGUCUCAUUGGUGUCGCUAUUCAAGUUUCCAGUCUAUCUCGAUCUCGGUGGUGUCUCGUGGAAGAGAAGUGAAGUUUAGUGAGCCUCUGUGUCGUCCCCAACUCCUUACUCGACGUGUAAUCAAGAUGGAUUUGGAUGGAUGUUCAUUGAAGAUGAAGUAUACGCCAUGAAAAAAUGUUGUAUGCAGACGGUGGUGGCGCUGGUUAGGGGAGUUCAACGGAGUCCAUGGGGAUGGAAAUGUAAGGGGAAUGGGCAAGGGUGAUACUGAUGGCGACUGCUGGAAUAAGAUAUCAAAUAUUGGUUAGGGUUUAUCAUUUUACCUUCUAUCAUAAAAAAUCUAAUUAAAAAAUAUUUGAAAACUAUUUCGUUAUCCAUAUCAUCAAAUAUAC